rnacentral:rRNA from 1 species
GAUGAACGCUGGCGGCGUGCCUAAUACAUGCAAGUCGAGCGAACAGACGAGGAGCUUGCUCCUCUGACGUUAGCGGCGGACGGGUGAGUAACACGUGGAUAACCUACCUAUAAGACUGGGAUAACUUCGGGAAACCGGAGAUAAUACCGGAUAAUAUAUUGAACCGCAUGGUUCAAUAGUGAAAGACGGUUUUGCUGUCACUUAUAGAUGGAUCCGCGCCGCAUUAGCUAGUUGGUAAGGUAACGGCUUACCAAGGCGACGAUGCGUAGCCGACCUGAGAGGGUGAUCGGCCACACUGGAACUGAGACACGGUCCAGACUCCUACGGGAGGCAGCAGUAGGGAAUCUUGCGCAAUGGGCGAAAGCCUGACGGAGCAACGCCACGUGAGUGAUGAAGGUCUUCGGAUCGUAAAACUCUGUUAUUAGGGAAGAACAAAUGUGUAAGUAACUAUGCACGUCUUGACGGUACCUAAUCAGAAAGCCACGGCUAACUACGUG